rnacentral:rRNA from 1 species
GGGUCAGUAGGUUGGUCGUGCCACCGGUACGUACUGGUCCCACUGAUUCCUCCUUCCUGAAGAGCCGUAAUGCCAUUAAUUUGGUGUUGCGGGGAAACAGGACUGUUACUUUGAAAAAAUUAGAGUGUUUAAAGCAAGCUAACGCUUGAAUACAUUAGCAUGGAAUAAUGAAAUAGGACGAUCGAUCCUAUUUUGUUGGUUUCUAGGAUUGACGUA